AUACUGCAAAGCUAGACGAAGUAGAAGAUAAAGAACACUCCGAAGAGAGAGAGAGAGAAGAAGAAGAGAGAGAAUAUGAAGGAGGAGGCGAUUAGCUCUUCAUGCGAUCCGCUAUUGCCUCCGAAAUCAUCUUCACCGCCGCAUACACCUACUCCAGCUGCAAGUUCUGCAGGAGCAUCAUCUCCUGCAAUACUAGCAAAUGCUGGAAGUACAGAUUGGCUUGGUAAUGGACAAGGUUCGAAGACUGCUUUGUCACUUGUUGGUUCACAACAGCUGCGUGCAUCGGUGAGCACAAGUGCUUGUGGUUCUGCCCUUGGAUCAUCACGUUCCUCUUGUAGACCAUGGGAAAGGAGCGAUUUGCUCAGACGACUAUCUACAUUUAACCCUGAGAAUUGGUUUGGAAAACCUAAGGCUGCCAGUUCAUUGGCAUGUGCUAGAAGAGGCUGGAUGAAUAUUGAUGUUGAUAAGAUUGAGUGUGAGUCGUGCAAUGCAAAUCUAGAGUUUCUUGUAUCAGCUCCUGACCAAGCUGAUGGUUCUGCAGCAGAGUUUGCCAAACAGUUGGAUGCAGGGCACAAAACAACAUGCCCUUGGAGAGGAAACAGCUGUGCAGAGAGUUUGGCUCAGUUUCCUCCUGCUCCACCAUCAGCUCUUAUCGGGGGUUACAAGGACCGUUGCGAUGGACUUCUACAGUUCUCUUCCCUGCCAGUUGUUUCUGGUACUGCAAUUGAGCAGAUGCAGUCAACUCGAGGCCCUGAAAUUGAGCGCUUACUAGCUUGUUCACUGGCACUUGCAGCUGGGACAGAGAAUUGCUCAGUAACUGAGAAAACUCGAGACGAAGCCUUCAGCACAUACUACCGUGCUCAGAAGCUGAUAAGCUUAUGUGGAUGGGAGCCAAGGUGGCAUCAUAAUAUUCAGGACUCUGAAGAGCAUUCUGCUCAGUCAGCUAGGAAUGGUUGCUCAACUGGUCCUGUUAAAGGGAAAGGUCAUCUGCAUGGUGCUGCCCCUAGCAAAAAGGCAUUAUCUUCUACCGGCAGAAAAGAUCUGGGGAAGAAAGAAGUAAUUGGUCCAGAGGCUAAAUGUGAAUCUAGAUCACCUUUACUUGAUUGUAGCUUAUGUGGAGCCACAGCUAGGAUAUGGGACUUCCUAACUGUGUCUCGUCCUACUAAUGUUGCCCCUACUACCAUUGGUAUUCCUGAGACAAGCAAGAAACUUGUCCUGACUAGGGGAGUAAGUGCAGCCAGUGGAAUUAGUGGAUGGGUUCCUCCUGAGCAGGUGGAUGAUCAAGAUGAAGCUGGAACAACAAAUGUUGGCAUUGACUUGGCCCUAACAAUGGGUGGUGGAAUCUCCUCUCCUCAAUUGCACAUGACAGAGAUGUCUGGACAAAAUCGCGAUGCAAAUGUGGGAAGAGAUCUAAUCAUUGGGCAGCCGACAGGCAGUGAGCUUGGCGGCCAUGCAGCUUCAUAUGAAUCAAGAGGUCCCAGUUCACAUAAAAGGCACCUAGAGGAAGGAGGUAGUACAGCUGACAGGCCAAAUUUAGCAAUUCAACAAGCAGAUAGUGUUGAAGGAACUGUAAUUGAUCGUGAUGGAGAAGAAGUUGAUGAUGGCAUACAGUAUUCAGCUGGCCCAUCAAAGCGUGUACGUGAAUCAGAUGCUUUCGAUACCUAUAAUUUCUUUCAGGGAAGAGAUUCGUCAGGUGCAGGUCCUAGCAAUUCAGUGAAUUUUGACCUUGAAGCGUAUGGCCAAAGACAAGUUUUUGGUUUCCCAUCAACUAGAGAUUCAACACAGGUCUCUUCAGUGAUUGCAAUGGACACUGUUUGUCAUGAUGACGAAAAUUCUAUGGAGAGUGUUGAAAACUAUCCAGGUGAUAUGGAUGACGUUCAUUUUCCCUCGCCAUCAAUUUUCAGGAAUCCAGAUUUGAAUGAGGUGUCAGAGUUUAACUAUAGUAACCAAGCUCAACAAAGUAACUGUGCUGUCGGUUUAAGGAUUGUAGGUGAUAUGGGUGUUAGUAGUACUAACGAUGGUGAAGAAUUGCUAAAUGCUGACACCACCACUCCUUAUGGGAGAGAGGGGCAAAGCUUUGGUAUUAGCGGAGGUAGUGUUGGAAUGGGUGCAAGUCAUGAAGCUGAAAUUCACGGGAUUGAUAUAUCUGUUCAUAGAACUGAUAGUGGGAUUGGUGAUGUGGAGCCAGUUCCUGAAAUAACUGAAAACCAGGGGCAAACUGGUGAAUUUGCUCCAGAUCGUGGUGUGAUGGGUGAUUUUGUUCCUGGAGAAGUGGGCCUUGAGUAUCGUCAAGGUGACAGUCAAGAUUUGAUUUCUCGUUCAAUAGGGAGGGCUGAUAGUGGCUCGAAAAUAUUUGGGUGGUCAGCAAAGGCUGAAUCUGUUGAAAGUGGUGAAAAAACUAGUAAUGCGAAUAUUUUACCACGGGAGAGCAGUAUCCAUCCUUCUCUUUCUUGUAAUGCUGUUGUAUACUCUGGUUUUGAUGCUUCAAAGGAAGAAGUCACUCAGACUGCUAAGGCUUUACUAGUUGAUGACGGUGCAUAUCCUGACUUGGCAAUAAAUGGGAUAGGGCCUCCAAAUGUUGAAAGCAACUACGAAGAUCCCAUUGAAUUUGAUCCUAUUAAAUAUCACAGCUAUUUCUGUCCUUGGGUAAAUGUGAAUGUUGCAGCGGCUGGAGUGGCAAUUUGUAGUAGCGGCAGUGCCUCCAACUCGAGUUCUGGUGCUUUAGCACUUUGUGGUUGGCAGUUGACACUAGAUGCCCUGGAUGCAUUCCAAUCACUUGGACAUGUCCCAGCUCAAACGGUUGAAUCUGAAUCAGCUGCAUCACUCUACAAGGAUGACCGUUUGACGCCUAGUAGAAAAAUGCUGGCACGUCGUUCCUUAAGUCGAAGUCGUGGAGGACAAAGCUGAAAUCAGUCCCACCAUUGAGGAGUAUGUAGUAAAUUGCUGAGCUGAAUCAUAUUUUCUAUCGUUUAUUUGAAACAUUUUUGUAUCCGGAUCUGGAUAUGAAUGAUUAUCAAUAUUCGGUAGGUGUUGGGAUACACAAGAAAUCAUGUCACUUUCAAAUGCCUUGUGUCGAUAUUUUAGCACUCACCCAGCCUAAUCAGAACUGCAUAUUUGGAUAUGGAUAUGUGAUAGAAUAAGCUCAGGUUCCUAGUAGAUUAUAUGAAUGAUGGGGGAGGGCGCAUAUUUACAAGAAACUGGAUUUUUUCUUAUGGUCAAGUUUGUUACUUUAUCCAUUUAGGAAAAAGACUUAUCCUGUUUAUAACUUUAUAUAAUUUGUGACGCGAGGCAAUAAUAACGACAAACUCGGUAUGUGAGUUGGAUAAAUUCAGAAUGUUUCAUUAGACCAAGGAGUUGCUAUAUAGGAUUUUAUGCAUGAAUUAAUCAAGGUUUAUGAACUUA